AUUGAACGCUGGCGGCAUGCCACACAUGCAAGUCGAACGGUAACAGGUCUUCGGAUGCUGACGAGUGGCGAACGGGUGAGUAAUACAUCGGAACGUGCCUAGUAGUGGGGGAUAACUACUCGAAAGAGUGGCUAAUACCGCAUGAGAUCUACGGAUGAAAGCAGGGGAUCGCAGGACCUUGUGCUACUAGAGCGGCCGAUGGCAGAUUAGGUAGUUGGUGGGAUAAAAGCUUACCAAGCCGACGAUCUGUAGCUGGUCUGAGAGGACGAUCAGCCACACUGGGACUGAGACACGGCCCAGACUCCUACGGGAGGCAGCAGUGGGGAAUUUUGGACAAUGGGCGCAAGCCUGAUCCAGCAAUGCCGCGUGCAGGAUGAAGGCCUUCGGGUUGUAAACUGCUUUUGUACGGAACGAAAAGCCCUGGGUUAAUACCCUGGGGUCAUGACGGUACCGUAAGAAUAAGCACCGGCUAACUACGUGCCAGCCGCCGCCGUAA
rnacentral:rRNA from 1 species